rnacentral:rRNA from 1 species
UACGUAGGGGGCAAGCGUUGUCCGGAUUUACUGGGCGUAAAGCGCGCGUAGGUGGAACGAUCAGUCCGGUCUGAAAGCCCCCGGCUCAACCGGGGAGGGUGGCUGGAAACUGUCGUUCUUGAGGGCGAGAGAGGAGGGUGGAAUUCCUGGUGUAGCGGUGAAAUGCGUAGAUAUCGGGAGGAACACCGGUGGCGAAGGCGGCGACCUGGGUCGACAUUGACGCUGAGGAGCGAAAGCCAGGGGAGCAAACGGG